GUGCUAGCUUUGAAGGCACAUAUUCUAGAAUUGUAAGGGUACAGAGAAGAAUUGCAUGGCCCCUGCACAAGGAUGACAAGCAAAUUUGUGAAGAGUGUUGUUGUUGU